AUCUCUUUAGCUAAUUACCUUGGUCAUUAACCUUUUAGUGUGCUGUUGGACAAUGUAUGCAUGAAAGGGCCAAAAUCUUCAGCAAUUUGCUCUCUCCUCCAACACGUGCUUCUUCUAGACCCAAUGGAAAAGCCAUAAUUGCUAUGUCAAGAGAGGUACCUACAAAUCUUUGUAAGAGAUGAGUUUGGAUAAUGAAAAUGGAGUGUUGGAGCAAGAAACAAAGAUGUUGGAGCAAGUUCUCGGGAUGAAACUCACACAAGAGACCAAAAAACUAAGGCAGGCUUCUACUUGUCUUGUAUAUUCAUAUUCUAAGUAGUUAAAACAGCACUUAUUAGAUGGUUUAAAUACAUUAUUAGAUAUUAACAUAGUUUAGGGAACUGGAUGGAAGAUUUGACUG